UACCUCUCAAGCCUGGCUUGAUGUUGGGGCACGCCUACCCGGCGGCCCUCGAAACCAUCGGCGGUGCCGGUGCGGCCUGGAAGCGCAGCAGAGAUGCGAAUCCGCGGGCCCGCAGACGCCAGCCGGACAAACGUCCUACGACAUUUCACCAG
rnacentral:misc_RNA from 1 species